GGCUGCCAGUACCUGAAUGGUGUCAACCCCAGUUUGAUCCAUUGUGUGCAGCCCUGGCUGAGAUCAUCCCCGUCACUGAUGACUGGUGUUUCUCUGCGGGGGUGGGGGAAAUGGAGGCUUUUUGUGUAGAAGUUCCAUGAAUGAAUAAGGUGAGUUUGAACUGUUAAACCUUCGUGUGGACAGCAGAGCACACGAAGCAAACGCAGAUAUGAAAUGUGACACAGCACAGAAAUCCUGGUUCAACAGUCCUUCUGAAAACUGUUCAUUUAUGAGCGACCUCUCACAUUAUUCCUGCGUGACUACGAGCUUUUGGAUGCAGUGAAACCAAACAUCAUCGAUGGGAAGAGGCAGCACCUGCUGGCUCCUCUUGUCCUUUAACACAAAACACCUGACGAUAAGAUGAUGCUGAUCGCUAUUCAGAGAUCCAAGAGUCCAGCUGACGACAGUCUCGUCUUUAUGGCCAAGAUUUUUGUGAGAGGUGCAGAUUUCAGCCCAGUGUUCACCUGCUGCGCACUCACCUGCCCAUGGUGCAUCCUCUGUACAAGCUCCUCAUACCUCACACUCGCUACACUCUGCAG